GGCGCGGUGGCAGAGUGGUCAUGCGGCAGAUUGCAAAUCUCCUGAGGUUGGUUCGAUUCCAGCCCGCGCCU
rnacentral:tRNA from 1 species